AUUGAACGCUGGCGGCAUGCUUUAUACAUGCAAGUCGAACGGUAACAGGGAGCUUGCUCCGCUGACGAGUGGCGAACGGGUGAGUAAUGCGUCGGAACGUGCCGAGUAGUGGGGGAUAACGCAUCGAAAGGUGUGCUAAUACCGCAUACGUACUGAGGUAGAAAGUGGGGGACCUUCGGGCCUCACGCUAUUCGAGCGGCCGACGUCUGAUUAGCUAGUUGGUGAGGUAAAGGCUCACCAAGGCGACGAUCAGUAGCGGGUCUGAGAGGAUGAUCCGCCACACUGGGACUGAGACACGGCCCAGACUCCUACGGGAGGCAGCAGUGGGGAAUUUUGACAAUGGGCGCAAGCCUGAUCCAGCCAUGCCGCGUGUCUGAAGAAGGCCUUCGGGUUGUAAAGGACUUUUGUCCGGGAGCAAAUGCCUGGUGUUAAUAGCACUGGGAGCUGAGAGUACCGGAAGAAUAAGCACCGGCUAACUACGUGCCAGCCGCCGCUGUAACAC
rnacentral:rRNA from 1 species